GAAAUGCGAUAAGUAAUGUGAAUUGCAGAAUUCAGUGACUCAUCGAAUCUUUGAACGCACAUUGCGCCCGCCAGCACUCUGGCGGGCAUGCCUGUUCGAGCGUCAUUUCAACCCUCAGAACCCCUUGCGGGAUCUGGCGUUGGGGAUUGGCAUCCAGCCAGCCCCGAAAUCUAGUGGCGGUCCCUCCGCGACCUCCCCUGUGCAGUAGCGAUACCUCGCAGCGGGACAGCGGUCUGACCACGCCGUAAAACCCCCAACUUCUCAAGGUUGACCUCGAAUCAGGUAGGAAUACCCGCUGAACUUAAGC
rnacentral:misc_RNA from 1 species